GGAGACUGCGGCCCAAGUUAGGAUUAGGACAGCGGUUUUUCAGUCCGGAGAUUCCGGCCACAACUAUUUUUGUCUGUUUUUAUCGUAAGCCAGAGUCUUUGGGUGCAGCUCUGGGACACCUAAAGGGCCUGGAGAAAUUCAGGCGGGGCCAGUGCUGUGGGGGUAGAUGUUAGACGUGGAAGGGACCCUAGAGAGCCUUGACUGUGAGGACUGAGACAGGGCCUCCUUUGUUGCCCAGGCCGGAGUGCAGUGGCUAUUCACAGGUCGAUAAUGCAAUCAUGGUGCACACUACAGCCUUGAACUUCUGGGCUCAUGUGAUCCUUCUGCCUCAGCCUCCCAGCGCUAUCCUCAUCAUACAUAUACUGUGAAGAUAAAAUAUCUGUUGAAGAUUCUUUGAGCACCUUGGGCCAGAAGAGCUACAGAAAGCCAAGGUGUGGCUGUGAUGACACUGAAUUCAGCUCAAGACCCAGGAGAACCUUACAUCUAUUCUUAUUUCCACAAGGAAGUGCACACAUGGCUAAUGCAAAUUCUUCCAUAAUAAUGAUAUAAACUUGAGUUGUCCAGGUUUGAUGAGACCCACAUCUUGUAUAUACAGUGUCAUCUACUGCCUCUGUUAGGGGCUCUAGGGGAUAAAGGAAACUAUAUUAAGAAAUGCAGCAUCUGUUUCUCCCUGUGUGACCACCCUACUUCCAAGAAGUUUCUGUAUCCUUGGCUGAAGUGCACUGUGUGUAUGUGUAUGUGUGUACACUCUUCUACAUCAAUCUGUAAGUCACUGAAAUGCUGCAGAUGUUUUAAAAAAAUUCCACCAUACUUGCUUACUUUAAACUUUGAAACAGGCAAAUAGCUAAGGCCAAUAACACUAGAUAGAAUUAAGUAAUUAAUAAUUUAACAGCACAAUUUAACAUUGUGCUUCUUAGGAUGGGCAGGGAUUGGUUAAUGGAUACAAAAUUAUAGCUAGAUAGGAGGAAUGAGUUCUGGUGUUCUGGAGCACUGUAGGAUGAAUAUGGCUAACUAUAAUUUAUUGUAUACUGUCAAAAGUCUAGAAGAAAGGAUUUUAAAUGUUCACAACACAAAUAAUAAAUUUUUGAGAUAAUGCAUAUCUGGUUUGAUUGUUAUACAUUGUAUACAGUAUUAAAAUAUCACUAUGUAUCCCAUGAAUAUGUAAAAUUAUUAUUUAUUAUUUUAAAAAUAAAAGGGGAGGAAAGAGA
rnacentral:lncRNA from 1 species